rnacentral:lncRNA from 1 species
GAUGAAAGUCAAGACUGUCUUGCUCUGGUGCUAAUGAGGGAUGGAGUAGUUGGAGUUGGCUGGAAUUUAGGUUGUCUUUUAGAUUCUGUUUUGGGUUUGGGGAGUAAUUGAGUCUUUCUUGGUGGUUUACAGGAAGGAAUCAGAAGCUGGAGAUGGAACAUGGGGAUUUGGGGGAAAUCAAGAAAAUAGACAUUCAGCCCUGAACCAACAGUGUGAUUUCAGAAGAAAACAUUGUUAGUGUUUUUCCAUUUUGUAAAUUAACCUGUUUCAUAAUUCAGUGAUACAAAAAACAUGAGUAUAAACACAAGGAAUUGUGGUUAAUGCAUUCAUGUUUAUAAAUUACUUUCCAGUUCUCAGCAAAAGAGAUGUGCUGACUGUUAAGUACAAGGUCUGAACCCCUCAGCCUGGAGUUAGUCACUUCAAGUUGUUUGGCCAGACCCAAACUGGAUGGCUCUUUGGGAAAUAUUCUUCUGAAGAAAUUCUGGAGGUUGCAAUGUUCUGUAAUAUUCCACAUUUAGAAUUCUUCCUCACUGAAAAAUGGAAACAGAGAUGAAGCGCAGUUUCUUGGACUCCAAGCUUGAAUGAGGCUAAGUGACAUCCGGUGAAGCCAGCGUAUGAAUUGCCUCGUCAGAGGCGCUGGCGGCAAGGAUGGUGGAGAUUGGAGUGUGCGCAGGGCAGUUGUCUCCAUGACCACACAUUCAGAGACCACAUCUGGAUCCACUCUGAAGUACUGGUGUCCGGACCUGGGGCGGCACAAGGUGGCAGGGGCCGGGAGGGCAUCGGAAGAGAUAGCCGCAGGUCUUCC